rnacentral:rRNA from 1 species
ACGCACGCUGGCGGCGUGCUUAACACAUGCAAGUCGCACGGAAAGGCCCUGCUUGCAGGGUACUCGAGUGGCGAACGGGUGAGUAACACGUGGGUGAUCUGCCCUGCACUUCGGGAUAAGCCUGGGAAACUGGGUCUAAUACCGGAUAGGAGCCAUUUUUAGUGUGAUGGUUGGAAAGUUUUUUCGGUGUAGGAUGAGCUCGCGGCCUAUCAGCUUGUUGGUGGGGUAAUGGCCUACCAAGGCGGCGACGGGUAGCCGGCCUGAGAGGGUGGACGGCCACAUUGGGACUGAGAUACGGCCCAGACUCCUACGGGAGGCAGCAGUGGGGAAUAUUGCACAAUGGGCGCAAGCCUGAUGCAGCGACGCCGCGUGGGGGAUGACGGCCUUCGGGUUGUAAACUCCUUUCGCUAGGGACGAAGCUUUUUGUGACGGUACCUAGAUAAGUAGCACCGGCUAACUACGUG